GUAUCCUACGGGAGGCAGCAGUGAGGAAUAUUGGUCAAUGGGCGGGAGCCUGAACCAGCCAAGUCGCGUGAGGGAAGACGGUCCUACGGAUUGUAAACCUCUUUUGCCGGGGAGCAACGGGGUCCUUGCGAGGUCCCAAUGAGAGUACCCGGAGAAAAAGCAUCGGCUAACUCCGUGCCAGCAGCCGCGGUAAUACGGAGGAUGCGAGCGUUAUCCGGAUUUAUUGGGUUUAAAGGGUGCGUAGGCGGGCUGUUAAGUCAGCGGUAAAAUGUCGGG
rnacentral:rRNA from 1 species